UACGGAGGGGGCUAGCGUUGUUCGGAAUUACUGGGCGUAAAGCGCACGUAGGCGGCCAUUUAAGUCAGGGGUGAAAUCCCAGAGCUCAACUCUGGAACUGCCUUUGAUACUGGGUGUCUGGAGUAUGGAAGAGGUGAGUGGAAUUCCGAGUGUAGAGGUGAAAUUCGUAGAUAUUCGGAGGAACACCAGUGGCGAAGGCGGCUCACUGGUCCAUUACUGACGCUGAGGUGCGAAAGCGUGGGGAGCAAACAGG
rnacentral:rRNA from 1 species